rnacentral:misc_RNA from 1 species
GAAAUGCGAUAAGUAGUGUGAAUUGCAGAAUUCAGUGAAUCAUCGAAUCUUUGAACGCACAUUGCGCCCCUCGGUAUUCCGUGGGGCAUGCCUGUUCGAGCGUCAUCUACACCCUCAAGCUCUGCUUGGUGUUGGGCGUCUGUCCCGCCUCCGCGCGUGGACUCGCCCCAAAUUCAUUGGCAGCGGUCCUUGCCUCCUCUCGCGCAGCACAUUGCGCUUCUCGAGGGGCUACGGCUCGCGUCCAACAAGUACAUUUACCGUCUUUGACCUCGGAUCAGGUAGGGAUACCCGCUGAACUUAAGC